rnacentral:rRNA from 1 species
UACGUAGGGGGCAAGCGUUGUCCGGAUUCAUUGGGCGUAAAGAGCGUGUAGGCGGCCAGGUAGGUCGGUUGUGAAAACUGGAGGCUCAACCUUCAGAGGUCGACCGAAACCAUCUGGCUAGAGUCCGGGAGAGGAGAGUGGAAUUCCUGGUGUAGCGGUGAAAUGCGCAGAUAUCAGGAAGAACACCAGUGGCGAAGGCGGCUCACUGGCCCGAUACUGACGCUGGAGGCACGAAAGCGUGGGGAGCAAACAGG